rnacentral:rRNA from 1 species
CCUACGGGGGGCAGCAGUGGGGAAUAUUGCACAAUGGGGGAAACCCUGAUGCAGCAACGCCGCGUGAAGGAAGACGGUUUUCGGAUUGUAAACUUCUGUUCUUAGUGAAGAAUAAUGACGGUAGCUAAGGAGCAAGCCACGGCUAACUACGUGCCAGCAGCCGCGGUAAUACGUAGGUGGCAAGCGUUGUCCGGAAUUACUGGGUGUAAAGGGAGCGCAGGCGGGAAGCCAAGUCAGCUGUGAAAACUACGGGCUUAACUUGUAGACUGCAGUUGAAACUGGUUUUCUUGAGUGAAGUAGAGGUUGGCGGAAUUCCGAGUGUAGCGGUGAAAUGCGUAGAUAUUCGGAGGAACACCGGUGGCGAAGGCGGCCAACUGGGCUUUAACUGACGCUGAGGCUCGAAAGUGUGGGGAGCAAACAGGAUUAGAUACCCGAGUA